UUUUGGCUCACUGCAAACCGUUUACGCUCAGCGGCAAUCCAAUUCCAUGUUUUAACUAUUAUGUGCUCAGUUGUUAAAAUUACAAAACAAUCAUAUUUUAAUAAUUAAAUUCGUAGGUUUGUGUGUCUGUGUUAGUAUAUUGAAUUUAGUAGGACUGAUCCGCGUACUCUGCUAAUAGUGAAACUAGCGCAGCCAAAAAAAAAUAGAUUGACAGCGGCAGAAACCAAUAGAAUAGCUUUACCGACUAGCGGGCUCAGACCGCUUCAGUUUGCAUUUAGGCUGAAUGUUGGGAGACAUGUGCAGACUUUUAAUUUUUAUUUGCUUGCUAUUAGCACCCGGAGAAGAGUAACAUCUUUACAGGUUUCAGGGAGUUCGAGCCUUUCUCAGCAGCAUCAAAGGCAAGGUAGUAACCAACAAUGGAAAGGGCAACACUUCAGUCAAAGUGUACAAGGAAUUGGGUACCCGCAUGAACUCAAACCAGGCUAAUUUGGAGUCGCCAAACAACACAGAUUGCACCUCAUUCGGAAUGCUGGGAAAACUGGAGUACCUGGACCAACACUCAGACAGACAUGGGGGAGAAAAUGCAGACUCCACAUAGAAUGUGGCCAGGAUGAAAUUCAGACCUACUAGUGCACAAUACUGUAAUUGUUCUGCCCUUUAUUCAAAAGUGUGGCUAAAAAGUGCUUUACAGUCUGUAAAAGAAGAAUUGAACAUGUAUAAGAAGUAUAAUGGACAAAUUCCUAGUUUGUAUGUCUCUAAUGGUAGAAAUUAUCAAAAUUAGCAUCCAGUUGCAAAACAUUAUAUGAUCAGAUGGCAGAGAGAAAUGAAAAUAAAAAUUCCCUCUAGCUACGAUUUAGCCAAAAGUAAACCUCUUGUGGUUCCAAGGCCAAAAAAUGACUUGUUUUAUACUUGAAUUUAUAACAUGUUCUUGGUUUAAAUCCUUAUUUUAUACUGUAAUUGUGAAUUGAGAUCAAGAAAUAAAGAAUGGCAUAUA